UACGUAGGGGGCGAGCGUUGUCCGGAAUUAUUGGGCGUAAAGAGCGUGUAGGCGGUUCGGUAAGUCUGCCGUGAAAGCCCGGGGCUUAACCCCGGGUCUGCAGUGGAUACGGGCAGGCUAGAGUUCGGCAGGGGAGACUGGAAUUCCUGGUGUAGCGGUGAAAUGCGCAGAUAUCGGGAGGAACACCGGUGGCGAAGGCGGGUCUCUGGGCCGAUACUGACGCUGAGGAGCGAAAGCGUGGGGAGCGAACAGG
rnacentral:rRNA from 1 species